CUUAAUCCAAUGAACAGGAUUAAACAGCUAAGUCUUUUUCUAGAGAAAAUACGGUUGGUGAAAGUAUUUAAAAGAGGGCUGUGGGACACUUGGGAGGAGUUACUUUGAAAUUAGUAGGAGUAAACGUAUGUCGCGUUAAGACAAAAGAGCAUGUUUGAUAACAUGAAUUAAGGUGGUACCGCGUGAAUAACGUCCUUAUU
rnacentral:ncRNA from 1 species